UACGUAGGUGGCAAGCGUUGUCCGGAAUUACUGGGUGUAAAGGGAGCGCAGGCGGGAAGCCAAGUCAGCUGUGAAAACUACGGGCUUAACUUGUAGACUGCUGUUGAAACUGGUUUUCUUGAGUGAAGUAGAGGUUGGCGGAAUUCCGAGUGUAGCGGUGAAAUGCGUAGAUAUUCGGAGGAACACCGGUGGCGAAGGCGGCCAACUGGGCUUUAACUGACGCUGAGGCUCGAAAGUGUGGGGAGCAAACAGG
rnacentral:rRNA from 1 species